CCCAGGUCAGGCGGGAUUACCCGCUG
rnacentral:rRNA from 25 species